GUCGUGAGAUGUUGGGUUAAGUCCCGCAACGAGCGCAACCCUUGUCAUUAGUUGCUACAUUCAGUUGGGCACUCUAAUGAGACUGCCGGUGACAAACCGGAGGAAGGUGGGGAUGACGUCAAGUCCUCAUGGCCCUUAUGGGUAGGGCUUCACACGUAAUACAAUGGCGCGUACAGAGGGCUGCUAAGCCGCGAGGUAGAGCCAAUCCCUUAAAGCGCGUCGUAGUCCGGAUUGCAGUCUGCAACUCGACUGCAUGAAGUCGGAAUCGCUAGUAAUCGCGGAUCAGCAUGUCGCGGUGAAUACGUUCCCGGGUCUUGUACACACCGCCCGUCACACCAUGGGAGUGGGUUUCACCAGAAGCCGGUCGCUUAACCGCAAGGAUGGCGCCGACCACGGUGAGAUUCAUGACUGGGGUGAAGUCGUAACAAGGUAGCCGUAUCGGAAGGUGCGGCUGGAUCACCUCCUUUCUAGAUCAGCACCUCGCAGUGCCCACCAUCUAUCGGCUGUUACUUCUCCAAGAGAGCGGGUCUGUAGCUCAGUUGGUUAGAGCACCGUCUUGAUAAGGCGGGGGUCGAUGGUUCGAAUCCAUCCAGACCCACCAGACUCUCGCUCUUUAACAAUCCGGGAUUGAAGGUAAAGUUGUUCUCAUGGCGAGGGGGCGUGGAAGGUUUCACGCGCUCGAGCGAUGAGGGCUAACUGGGUUAUGUAUUGCAUCGUGUUCUGCGCCGCAGGAUUGGCGUGGAUGCACAAACUUAAGCGUGAGAGUUACCUAUUGCUUUGAUUUGCCCUGGGGGACUUUGCCUCGGGGUGCUUUUGCUCUAAAGGCGAAGGCGGCAAGGUUAUAGGGUCAAGCGAAUAAGUGCAUGUGGUGGAUGCCUUGGCAAUGAUAGGCGAUGAAGGACGUGACAGCCUGCGAUAAGCUGCGGGGAGCCGGCAAAUGGGCGCUGAUCCGCGGAUUU
rnacentral:sRNA from 1 species